UAUCCAUAGAUGGAAAACAAAAUGGUUCUCGGAAAAACCCAUUAACACUUGACAUAAGCUUUUCAUUUCUUCUCACCUCACUCGAAAGAUUCUUCCACAAAGCCUAUCAUAGUCUAACCGAACUGCACCACCACCCUGUUACUAACACCAUCACCUCUACCACCACCUUCUUCUUCUUCUUCUUCUUCUUCUUCUUCUACUACUACUAACGCAACCGUCAAUCUAAUAGUCUACCAAGUCUAGCACCAUUUACAGCCAUUUCGACAAAAUUUUUAUCAUAUUCUAUCAAUAUCUUCAUUACAAAGAUGGUGUUGCAACCCAUUUGUCUGAAGAUGAUGACAGUGAUGAAGCCGAGUGGAUCUAGGGAUUUUUCAGUCAUUCUGGACCCUGUUCAACACGUGACGAGUUGGCAUUUAACAGCUGUUACCUGUUUUAUUGAAAAAACGGAAACGGGUGGAAAAGUGAAACCGGAUGUAUUUUAAUAAUUAUAAAAAUAAAGGGUGUAUUUUUGUAAUUGCUAAUCUCACAUGAUGUAUUUUAUCAAUAUCCCCUAAUCAUGAUUGUUGAGGUUCACCAUUGAUAUCUUAUUUACCUUGAAGA